rnacentral:rRNA from 1 species
AACACGACUCUUGGCAAUGGAUAUCUCAGCUCUCAUCAUGAUGAAGAAUGUAGUGAAAUGUGAUACUUAGUGUGAAUUGUAGAAUCCUAUGAAUCAUCGAGUCUUUGAAUGCAAGUUGCGCCCAAGGCUCUAGCCGAGGGCAUGUCUGCUUGGGUGUCGCAC